rnacentral:rRNA from 1 species
AUUGAACGCUGGCGGCAGGCCUAACACAUGCAAGUCGAGCGGCAGCGGGAAAGUAGCUUGCUACUUUUGCCGGCGAGCGGCGGACGGGUGAGUAAUGCCUGGGAAAUUGCCCAGUCGAGGGGGAUAACAGUUGGAAACGACUGCUAAUACCGCAUACGCCCUACGGGGGAAAGCAGGGGACCUUCGGGCCUUGCGCGAUUGGAUAUGCCCAGGUGGGAUUAGCUAGUUGGUGCGGUAAUGGCUCACCAAGGCGACGAUCCCUAGCUGGUCUGAGAGGAUGAUCAGCCACACUGAAACUGAGACACGGUCCAGACUCCUACGGGAGGCAGCAGUGGGGAAUAUUGCACAAUGGGGGAAACCCUGAUGCAGCCAUGCCGCGUGUGUGAAGAAGGCCUUCGGGUUGUAAAGCACUUUCAGCGAGGAGGAAAGGUUGAUGCCUAAUACGUAUCAACUGUGACGUUACUCGCAGAAGAAGCACCGGCUAACUCCGUGCCAGCAGCCGCAGUAACAC